UACGUAGGGUGCGAGCGUUGUCCGGAAUUAUUGGGCGUAAAGAGCUCGUAGGCGGUGUGUCACGUCGGCCGUGAAAACCUGCAGCUUAACUGUGGGCGUGCGGUCGAUACGGGCAUCACUGGAGUUCGGCAGGGGAGACUGGAAUUCCUGGUGUAGCGGUGAAAUGCGCAGAUAUCAGGAGGAACACCUGUGGCGAAGGCGGGUCUCUGGACAGUUCCUGACGCUGAGGCACGAAGGCCAGGGGAGCAAACGGG
rnacentral:rRNA from 1 species